rnacentral:rRNA from 15 species
UGAAUAGGGUGAAUGAGUAUCUGGUCGUAGACCCGAAACCAAGUGAUCUACCCAUGGCCAGGAUGAAGGUGCGGUAACACGUACUGGAGGUCCGAACCCACUAACGUUGAAAAGUUAGGGGAUGAGCUGUGGAUAGGGGUGAAAGGCUAAACAAACCUGGAAAUAGCUGGUUCUCUCCGAAAACUAUUUAGGUAGUGCCUCAAGUAUCACCAUCGGGGGUAGAGCACUGUUAUGGCUAGGGGGUC